UAUGUCCUACGGGACGCAGCAGUGAGGAAUAUUGGUCAAUGGCCGGAAGGCUGAACCAGCCAAGCCGCGUGAGGGACGAAGGUGCCGAGCAUUGUAAACUUCUUUUGUCAGGGGACAAAAUCAGGCUCGCGAGCCUGGCAGAGGGUACUUGAAGAAAAAGCAUCGGCUAACUCCGUGCCAGCAGCCGCGGUAAUACGGAGGAUGCGAGCGUUAUCCGGAUGUAUUGGGUUUAA
rnacentral:rRNA from 1 species